UCAAUUAAUGAAAAUGAAAGAGACAGGUCUUGUGAAAUAUUGGAACAAAAUUUAUGAAGUCUGACUAGAGGGAUUCCAUCUAUUCUAAAAACCCAUACGUACAUUAUGAUGCAAAUGGAAGAAAACAUUAAAAAGCAGUGGAUACGGCCACCGGGAAAUCAGUAGGAAUGGAUUUACCCUAGGCACAGAUGUACCAAUACAGUUCGAACUAUGAAAAUAAAGAUGAAAAGAUACAUUGAGAAUUCAUUUUCAGUAAAAAGCAGAACUGUGCCACAGGAGCAUCACCUGUGAAAGGUUACAAAUGAUACAAAUGACACCAAUAAAGGAUAUAUGAGCAACUGUUAAUAUAUACCAGAAACAGGAGGCAGUUACAAAAUCAAUAAACAAAGACAGAAAACUUGCAAGUGAUCCUGCAUGAGAACUGAACACCAGACAGUAUCGUUACCAAACAGUAUUCUUUUGGAGGGAAUUCUGUUUAAAGAAAUUGGAUGGAAAAAGUCAAAGAUGGUUAUUUCAAGUGUCACUUUUUAAACCCACUUUCUUCACUGGACAGCACUAACACCACAUACAGCA